rnacentral:hammerhead_ribozyme from 1 species
AUCCAGCUGACGAGUCCCAAAUAGGACCUAAACGCGCGUCCUGGAU